rnacentral:rRNA from 1 species
UGCAGUCGAACGGCAGCACGGGGGCAACCCUGGUGGCGAGUGGCGAACGGGUGAGUAAUACAUCGGAACGUGUCCUGUAGUGGGGGAUAGCCCGGCGAAAGCCGGAUUAAUACCGCAUACGCUCUACGGAGGAAAGGGGGGGAUCGCAAGACCUCCCGCUACAGGGGCGGCCGAUGGCAGAUUAGCUAGUUGGUGGGGUAAAGGCCUACCAAGGCGACGAUCUGUAGCUGGUCUGAGAGGACGACCAGCCACACUGGGACUGAGACACGGCCCAGACUCCUACGGGAGGCAGCAGUGGGGAAUUUUGGACAAUGGGCGAAAGCCUGAUCCAGCAAUGCCGCGUGUGUGAAGAAGGCCUUCGGGUUGUAAAGCACUUUUGUCCGGAAAGAAAACCUUCGGGUUAAUACCCUGGGGGGAUGACGGUACCGGAAGAAUAAGCACCGGCUAACUACGUGCCAGCAGCCGCGGUAAUACGUAGGGUGCAAGCGUUAAUCGGAAUUACUGGGCGUAAAGCGUGCGCAGGCGGUCCGCUAAGACAGAUGUGAAAUCCCCGGGCUUAACCUGGGAACUGCAUUUGUGACUGGCGGGCUAGAGUAUGGCAGAGGGGGGUAGAAUUCCACGUGUAGCAGU